AAGGGAGUUUGCCUGUGGAGAAGAAUGCUGUGUUGUUUAAAAGUGAUGGAGAAUCAUUGAUUAGACGCCACAGGGAUUUUUAUGGGGAUUGUGAUGUAUAUGAUGGUGAAUGGGUUAGAGAUGACACGAAGCCGUAUUAUCCUCCGGGUUCUUGCCCUAUGAUUGAUAGGGAUUUUGAUUGUCACCUUAAUAAGAGGCCAGAUGAUGAGUAUAUCAAGUGGAGAUGGCAACCAUAUGCAUGUGACAUACCGAGCCUCAAUGCAACUGAUUUUCUGGAGAGAUUGAGAGGGCAAAAGCUUGUUUUUGUGGGGGACUCAUUGAAUAGGAACAUGUGGGAGUCCCUUGUUUGCAUUCUUCGCCACAGUAUCCGAGACAAAAGGCGAGUUUAUGAGAUAUCAGGAAGGCAUGAAUUCAAAAAGAAGGGCUUCUAUGCAUUCAGAUUUGAGGAUUAUAACUGUUCUGUGGAUUUUGUUAGCUCUCCAUUUCUUGUCAGACAAUCAACUUUUAAAGGGAAAAAUGGUUCUUUCGAGACGCUAAGAUUGGAUUUGAUGGACAAGACGACUUCAAUGUAUAGUGAUGCUGAUAUUGUAAUUUUCAACACUGGUCAUUGGUGGACUCAUGAGAAAACCUCCAGAGGGGAAGACUACUACCAGGAAGGUAAUCAUGUGCAUGGAAGGCUCAAGGUUUUAGAGGCGUAUAAGAGAGCGAUUUCCACUUGGGCAAGGUGGGUGGAUCAGAACUUUGACGGAAGCAGAAGUCAAGUUAUUUU
rnacentral:misc_RNA from 1 species